rnacentral:rRNA from 1 species
GACGAACUCUGGCGGCGUGCCUAAUACAUGCAAGUCGAGCGGACCGGAUUGGGGCUUGCCUUGAUUCGGUCAGCGGCGGACGGGUGAGUAACACGUGGGCAACCUGCCCGCAAGACCGGGAUAACUCCGGGAAACCGGAGCUAAUACCGGAUAACACCGAAGACCGCAUGGUCUUCGGUUGAAAGGCGGCCUUUGGGCUGUCACUUGCGGAUGGGCCCGCGGCGCAUUAGCUAGUUGGUGAGGUAACGGCUCACCAAGGCGACGAUGCGUAGCCGGCCUGAGAGGGUGACCGGCCACACUGGGACUGAGACACGGCCCAGCCUCCUACGGGAGGCAGCAGUAGGGAAUCUUCCGCAAUGGGCGAAAGCCUGACGGAGCGACGCCGCGUGAGCGAAGAAGGCCUUCGGGUCGUAAAGCUCUGUUGUGAGGGACGAAGGAGCGCCGCUCGAAGAGGGCGGCGCGGUGACGGUACCUCACGAGAAAGCCCCGGCUAACUACGUGCCAGCCGCCGCCGUAA